CAGUCGCCGCGGUAGUACGAAGGGGGCUAGCGUUGCUCGGAACUACUGGGCGUAAAGCGUGCGCAGGCGGUUGUGUAAGACAGGUGUGAAAUCCCCGGGCUUAACCUGGGAACUGCGCUUGUGACUGCACAGCUAGAGUAUGGCAGAGGGGGGUGGAAUUCCACGUGUAGCAGUGAAAUGCGUAGAGAUGUGGAGGAACACCGAUGGCGAAGGCAGCCCCCUGGGCCAAUACUGACGCUCAUGCAUGAAAGCGUGGGGAGCAAACAGGAUUAGAUACCCGCGUAGUCCCUGUCUCUUAUAC
rnacentral:rRNA from 1 species